UACAGAGGUCUCAAGCGUUGUUCGGAUUCAUUGGGCGUAAAGGGUGCGUAGGCGGCUCGGUAAGUCGGGUGUGAAAUCUUGGAGCUUAACUCCGAAACUGCAUUCGAUACUGCCGUGCUUGAGGACUGGAGAGGAGACUGGAAUUUACGGUGUAGCGGUGAAAUGCGUAGAUAUCGGAAGGAAGACCAGUGGCGAAGGCGGGUCUCUGGACAGUUCCUGACGCUGAGGCACGAAGGCCAGGGGAGCAAACGGG
rnacentral:rRNA from 1 species